CCGAAAAUGUUGGUUUAAACCCCUCCUCUAYUA
rnacentral:tRNA from 1 species